rnacentral:rRNA from 1 species
GCUGACGAGUGGCGGACGGGUGAGUAAUGUCUGGGAAACUGCCUGAUGGAGGGGGAUAACUACUGGAAACGGUGGCUAAUACCGCAUAACGUCGCAAGACCAAAGAGGGGGACCUUCGGGCCUCUUGCCAUCAGAUGUGCCCAGAUGGGAUUAGCUAGUUGGUGAGGUAACGGCUCACCAAGGCGACGAUCCCUAGCUGGUCUGAGAGGAUGACCAGCCACACUGGAACUGAGACACGGUCCAGACUCCUACGGGAGGCAGCAGUGGGGAAUAUUGCACAAUGGGCGCAAGCCUGAUGCAGCCAUGCCGCGUGUAUGAAGAAGGCCUUAGGGUUGUAAAGUACUUUCAGCGGGGAGGAAGGUGUUGUGGUUAAUAACCACAGCAAUUGACGUUACCCGCAGAAGAAGCACCGGCUAACUCCGUGCCAGCAGCCGCGGUAAUACGGAGGGUGCAAGCGUUAAUCGGAAUUACUGGGCGUAAAGCGCACGCAGGCGGUCUGUCAAGUCGGAUGUGAAAUCCCCGGGCUCAACCUGGGAACUGCAUUCGAAACUGGCAGGCUUGAGUCUUGUAGAGGGGGGUAGAAUUCCAGGUGUAGCGGUGAAAUGCGUAGAGAUCUGGAGGAAUACCGGUGGCGAAGGCGGCCCCCUGGACAAAGACUGACGCUCAGGUGCGAAAGCGUGGGGAGCAAACAGGAUUAGAUACCCUGGUAGUCCACGCCGUAAACGAUGUCUACUUGGAGGUUGUGCCCUUGAGGCGUGGCUUCCGGAGCUAACGCGUUAAGUAGACCGCCUGGGGAGUACGGCCGCAAGGUUAAAACUCAAAUGAAUUGACGGGGGCCCGCACAAGCGGUGGAGCAUGUGGUUUAAUUCGAUGCAACGCGAAGAACCUUACCUGGUCUUGACAUCCACAGAACUUUCCAGAGAUGGAUUGGUGCCUUCGGGAACUGUGAGACAGGUGCUGCAUGGCUGUCGUCAGCUCGUGUUGUGAAAUGUUGGGUUAAGUCCCGCAACGAGCGCAACCCUUAUCCUUUGUUGCCAGCGGUUAGGCCGGGAACUCAAAGGAGACUGCCAGUGAUAAACUGGAGGAAGGUGGGGAUGACGUCAAGUCAUCAUGGCCCUUACGACCAGGGCUACACACGUGCUACAAUGGCGCAUACAAAGAGAAGCGACCUCGCGAGAGCAAGCGGACCUCAUAAAGUGCGUCGUAGUCCGGAUUGGAGUCUGCAACUCGACUCCAUGAAGUCGGAAUCGCUAGUAAUCGUGGAUCAGAAUGCCACGGUGAAUACGUUCCCGGGCCUUGUACACACCGCCCGUCACACCAUGGGAGUGGGUUGCAAAAGAAGUAGGUAGCUUAACCUUCGGGAGGGCGCUUACCACUUUGUGAUUCAUGACUGGGGUGAAGUCGUAACAAGGUAACCGUAGGGGAACCUGCGGUUGGAUCACCUCCUUACCU